GCUAUAGCCAAGUGGUUACGGUGACAGAUUAUAAUCAGUCGGUUGUGUAUCUCUGGUGUUCAAUCUGUUCCUCUUUGAGAGCGCAGGUUCAAAUCCUGCUGGC
rnacentral:tRNA from 1 species